CUUGUAGGCGGUCUGUCGCGUCUGCUGUGAAAAUCCGGGGCUCAACCCGGACUUGCAGUGGGUACGGGCAGACUAGAGUGUGGUAGGGGAGACUGGAAUUCCUGGUGUAGCGGUGAAAUGCGCAGAUAUCAGGAGGAACACCGAUGGCGAAGGCAGGUCUCUGGGCCAUUACUGACGCUGAGAAGCGAAAGCGUGGGGAGCGAACA
rnacentral:rRNA from 1 species